UUCCGGUUGAUCCUGCCGGCGGCCACCGCUAUUGGAAUACGAUUAAGACAUGCGAGUCGAGAGACAUCUGGUCUCGGCGAACCGCUCAGUAACACAUGGAUAACAUGCCCUAAGGUGGGGGAUAAUCUCGGGAAACUGAGGAUAAUACCCCAUAGGUCUUCUCUGCUGGAAUGCUUGAAGGCCGAAAACUCCGGUGCCUUAGGAUUGGUCUGCGGCCUAUCAGGUUGUAGUGGGUGUAAUGGACCCACUAGCCCGUGACGGGUAUGGGCCUUGAGAGAGGGAGCCCAGAGAUGGACUCUGAGACAUGAGUCCAGGCCCUACGGGGCGCAGCAGUCGCGAAAACUUCGCAAUGGGGGCAACCCCGACGAGGGAAUUCCAAGUGCCAGCACUUUGUGUUGGCUGUUCUCCUGUCUAAAAAACAGGAGGAGUAAGGGGCGGGUAAGACGGGUGCCAGCCGCCGCGGUAAUACCCGCGCCCCUAGUGGUGGUCGAUAUUAUUGAGCCUAAAACGUCCGUAGCCGGUCUUUUAAAUCUUUGGGCAAAUCGGGCAGCUUAACUGUCCGACUUCCGAGGAGACUGGAAGACUUGGGACCGGGAGAGGUCAGAGGUACUUCUGGGGUAGGGGUAAAAUCCUGUAAUCCUGGAAGGACCACCGGUGGCGAAAGCGUCUGACUAGAACGGAUCCGACGGUGAGGGACGAAGCCCUGGGGCGCAAACGGGAUUAGAUACCCCGGU
rnacentral:rRNA from 1 species